rnacentral:rRNA from 2 species
GUAAGACUGGGAUAACUCCGGGAAACCGGGGCUAAUACCGGAUAACUCUUUUCCUCACAUGAGGAAAAGCUGAAAGAUGGUUUCGGCUAUCACUUACAGAUGGGCCCGCGGCGCAUUAGCUAGUUGGUGAGGUAACGGCUCACCAAGGCCACGAUGCGUAGCCGACCUGAGAGGGUGAUCGGCCACACUGGGACUGAGACACGGCCCAGACUCCUACGGGAGGCAGCAGUAGGGAAUCUUCCGCAAUGGACGAAAGUCUGACGGAGCAACGCCGCGUGAGUGAUGAAGGUUUUCGGAUCGUAAAACUCUGUUGUCAGGGAAGAACAAGUACCGGAGUAACUGCCGGUACCUUGACGGUACCUGACCAGAAAGCCACGGCUAACUACGUGCCAGCAGCCGCGGUAAUACGUAGGUGGCAAGCGUUGUCCGGAAUUAUUGGGCGUAAAGCGCGCGCAGGCGGUUCCUUAAGUCUGAUGUGAAAGCCCCCGGCU